rnacentral:rRNA from 1 species
AUACGUAGGGUGCGAGCGUUGUCCGGAAUUACUGGGCGUAAAGAGCUCGUAGGUGGUUUGUCGCGUCGUCUGUGAAAUUCCGGGGCUUAACUCCGGGCGUGCAGGCGAUACGGGCAUAACUUGAGUACUGUAGGGGAGACUGGAAUUCCUGGUGUAGCGGUGAAAUGCGCAGAUAUCAGGAGGAACACCGGUGGCGAAGGCGGGUCUCUGGACAGUAACUGACGCUGAGGAGCGAAAGCAUGGGUAGCGAACAGGAUUAGAUACCCUGGUAGUCCAUGCCGUAAACGGUGGGCGCUAAGUGUAGGGGUCUUCCACGACUUCUGUGCCGUAGCUAACGCAUUAAGCGCCCCGCCUGGGGAGUACGGCCGCAAGGCUAAAACUCAAAUGAAUUGACGGGG